AACUUUCGACCACCACCUCUCUCCCUUCUCUCUCACAUUUCCUCCAUUGUCAACCAUGGGAGAGACCUUUGAAGCUUCACCAAAAUAUUUCAAACACAUAAAUCACCAACAAAAUCCCACAUAAACACAUCCUAGCUACUUGAAUUCAAGAGAAUCAUUGGAGAUUGCUUCCAAGGCUAGAGAGAGAAAGUGUGAUUGUUGGUGUAAAGUUUGGACACGAGCAGAGCAAGGAAGUAAGUAACUCCGCUUUGACGGGAGAUUUUGAGUAAGGUCUUCAGACUAAGCGAGGAGCGAGAUUGGUCUGGUGCUGGUGGGGAAUUGUUGGAGGAUGUAUUUACUUUAUCGUAUUUCCAUUUUGACGAUAAAGUCUUGAUGAUUGAUAUACUUUGAUUUUUUGUAGAAUUUAAGCAAUGUACUCACGGUUAUAUGUCUUCAUACAUAUAAUCGAUUCGCC